AUCGCCGCGAUAUUUAUCUGAAACAAAAAAUACAAAUUUUUAAUAAUAAAUUUUAUUUUUAGCUCCUUUUGUUUUUAUUACUAAUUUUUUUUUUUACUUUUCCUUUGAUUUUUGUUCAAAGACCUUUUGGCCGAAAGCCAAAAGGCAUAGGCUAAUUCAAAGGAAAUGUUAAAAAGAAAUAUAAAGUAAGAAAGAAGCACGAAAAUAUUUGUUUACUAUUAAAAAUUUGUAGUUAUUCUUAUUAUUCUAUUUUUAUAGAGUAGCUCAUACUGAAGCUUACUUUUUUCUUAACACUUUUUCUUUCCUAGUCAAAACUUGCUUAGUAAAAUAAAAGAAAAAAGUAAGAUAUACCUUCGUAUGAUGCAACAACUAUUUUUGUUAAGAAUUUGUAGUUUCGAUGAACCCUUCUGAGUAACAUCUCAAAAGUCAUAGCAAGGUAGCUUGUACUGGAAA
rnacentral:rRNA from 1 species